rnacentral:rRNA from 1 species
GCGGCUGCUUACACAUGCAGUCGAACGAUGAACCACUUCGGUGGGGAUUAGUGGCGAACGGGUGAGUAACACGUGGGCAAUCUGCCCUGCACUCUGGGACAAGCCCUGGAAACGGGGUCUAAUACCGGAUAUUGACCUUCACGGGCAUCUGUGAGGUUCGAAAGCUCCGGCGGUGCAGGAUGAGCCCGCGGCCUAUCAGCUUGUUGGUGAGGUAAUGGCUCACCAAGGCGACGACGGGUAGCCGGCCUGAGAGGGCGACCGGCCACACUGGGACUGAGACACGGCCCAGACUCCUACGGGAGGCAGCAGUGGGGAAUAUUGCACAAUGGGCGAAAGCCUGAUGCAGCGACGCCGCGUGAGGGAUGACGGCCUUCGGGUUGUAAACCUCUUUCAGCAGGGAAGAAGCGAAAGUGACGGUACCUGCAGAAGAAGCGCCGGCUAACUACGUGCCAGCAGCCGCGGUAAUACGUAGGGCGCAAGCGUUGUCCGGAAUUAUUGGGCGUAAAGAGCUCGUAGGCGGCUUGUCACGUCGGUUGUGAAAGCCCGGGGCUUAACCCCGGGUCUGCAGUCGAUACGGGCAGGCUAGAGUUCGGUAGGGGAGAUCGGAAUUCCUGGUGUAGCGGUGAAAUGCGCAGAUAUCAGGAGGAACACCGGUGGCGAAGGCGGAUCUCUGGGCCGAUACUGACGCUGAGGAGCGAAAGCGUGGGGAGCGAACAGGAUUAGAUACCCUGGUAGUCCACGCCGUAAACGGUGGGCACUAGGUGUGGGCAACAUUCCACGUUGUCCGUGCCGCAGCUAA